rnacentral:misc_RNA from 1 species
GAAAGGUCUAAAACACUGGAAACAUGAAUGAUGAAGCCAUGUUAUGAAAUUAUGAUGGAAAUUAAGGUGGCAUUAGGCCCACACUCUCUUGUAAUGAUUUGGGUGGGUUUAAUAACCUAAUUUCAACAAUUAUCUUUGUUAGUGGACUUGUUUAGCCAGUCUCUGUAGCAUCUACAAACGAUAUGAUGAGAUUCCUUGUGAUAAGAUUAUCGAUUCAUUCACCGAUAAGGCUUGUGGUGGAAAAAAUUGAUUAAGGGCCCAAUUGCUUGUCAAUAUUUAUUGAAAGUUGCUUGUUGGCGUCUCUCUCAACUUUCAGUUACUGUUCAACUUCUUUUCAUCACACAAACUCACGAAGAAAAGGACCAUAUAAUUCAUGAGACAGCUUUAUAUCCACGGCCACAUCAAUGCAUAAAAAGAAGGUUGAUCAUGGAUGCAAUUGGCAAGAAAUAGAGAUUUCUUAUCCCACAUACCUAUUACAGCGAACUUCACUUUGAAAUUGGUUUGGUUUAACCUAACGCAGAAUUCGUCUGGUUUUUGUUUUUAAUUUCUUAAAAUUAUGAGAAAAACAAAUGUUCGAAUCUAUCUAGGAAAGGAAAGGAAGGAAAAUUUUCCUCUCCCUCAAACUGAUUCGGAUUGAUCUUCGCCUCUGUCUGAACCAAACGGUAUCGUGUUAAUGAACCUUCUGGUUAUUCGGAGGCAAUGUAAUUUAUGAU